AUACGUAGGUGGCAAGCGUUGUCCGGACUUACUGGGUGUAAAGGGCGUGUAGGCGGAGAUGCAAGUCAGGAGUGAAAUCUAGGGGCUCAACCCCUAAACUGCUUUUGAAACUGUAUCCCUUGAGUAUCGGAGAGGCAGGCGGAAUUUCUAGUGUAGCGGGGAAAUGCGUAGAUAUUAGGAGGAACACCAGUGGCGAAGGCGGCCUGCUGGACGACAACUGACGCUGAGGCGCGAAAGCGUGGGGAGCAAACAGGAUUAGAUACCCUGGUAGUCCACGCUGUAAACGAUGAAUACUAGGUGUGGGGGGACUGACCCCCUCCGUGCCGCAGUUAACACAAUAAGUAUUCCACCUGGGGAGUACGAUCGCAAGAUUGAAACUUAAAGGAAUUGACGGGG
rnacentral:rRNA from 1 species